CCCCAGAUUCUGUACAGCCUUCCCACGACUCUUUGCUUCCAUCCGGGUUUAGAACACCCUUAGGUAACCAUGUCUCCCUCCCUGGUUUGAUUUAACGUACUUUUGCAUGAAGAACAAGAUCCGUUUGAUGUUUUUUUUUGCCACAGCCUUUCCCUUGCUGUCUGGUUUUCCUCCGUUCGGCAUUUAAUGGUCUUUGCAGGAUGCAUGUUUGCUGAAUAUAUCAUUUUCGUUUGGGUCAGAUUGCAUAUUGAUUGAUGAGUUUGUUAGCUUUGGUUUUUGCUAAUGAAGAUUUGUCCGAUGUUAGAUGCUGUGGAAGUAAGGAUGAAUGUUUGCUUUUGACUUGGGCUUGGUACCAGAAUUUGUUGCGUGCAAUGGCUGGAACCUUUAGAGUAUCAGAAAUCUGCUGCAGAAAUGUUAAUGUAGUUCAGUAGCUAAGUGUCUAAAGGCUAUAGUGCCAAAGUUUCUGCUUGCUUGAAAUGUUCAUGUUGCUUGACUGCGAUGGUUUUUCCAUGAUUGACAGCAAGUUUCCACUUUUUCUUUGCUGCAAUUUUUUUUAUCCAGUUGCCUUGAUUGAAUCUCCUGGGAUAGAUAUUCGUGUUAGGUAGUGUUAAUAAGAGUAAUUUGAAGUCUUUGCUUCAGGUUUUGAUUGUUGAAUUAGCAGAUUUUGUUUGAAUUACUUCACACGAGCACGUCUAGGUGAAUCACCAGAUAUUGUUGAAGUUGUAAGAACCCAGACUCUCCACGAGACACUCCCAUAAAACUGGUUUUCCUGUCUCGAUAAGUUGCUAAAGAGAAUUGCAGCAAGAAACCUUGAAUGAGUGUAGCCCGGAAUGAACUGUGAAUGAGUUAUUAGUUUGCAUGUUUAAUCCAGUGUGUUACGGUGUUUUUUCUGGAAUUUAAUGUAAGUUUUCCAGGCUGCUAAUGAACACUAUAAAUGUGGCUAAUCAUAGCUGAAAAAUUACAGCUAAUGAACACUAUCAGUGUGGCUAAUCAUACCUGGAAAAUUGCAGCAGUUUCUCUUCUCAAAUGUUGGCAUGUUUUCUAGCUCAUCUUGUUGCAUUUUUGUCCUUAAGUCUGUUAGAUUUCUAUCUACUUUUGUCGUAAAUAUCUGCACUUUGUGUUGAAUGGGUGAAGAUACGUUGGGAUCCUGGGCAGGAAUGUUUGUCUCGUUUGAAAAUUCAGAAUAAUAGCUUCAAAUUGCAGAUUUGUUUUUCUUUCUUUGUAGCAUUCGAAUGACCACUUUGCUUGGAUUUCUUCCAUCUAAUUGAUUUGUUAAGUGAUGUUUAAAUGGAAGCAAUCUCAAAGUUGUUGUAUGGAAUCUGUUUUGCCGAAAUUGAAAGAGGUUUGCGCAUGAAAAUUUUCCAGCACUUAUAUAAUCACUUGCCAAGUUUUUUGUUUUAGUCUAUUUUUAGAUGUUGAAGUUAUGUACUUGGUGGUUUAGUUUAGAGUUUUGGUUUUGUUUGAGAAAGUUUGAUCAAAAGUUGCCUGGGGACAUGAAUUUGCAAACAGAAAGUGCAGUAAUUGCUUGUUUCUUGUUGUAGAAUGUUAUCUUACGUUAGUCUGCAUGCAUGCAAAAAUAAUUCUGAAAAUUGCACUUUGACCCUUGGUUUCUAACUAAUGCCGCUAUGACCCAACCAAUUAAAUGUUUUCUUCAAUUUGGUCCUUGGCUGUUUUAAUUUUUGCAAUUUCAUUGCUUGCUUUGCUUCAACUAAUUACCAUGCUUUGUCAAUUGCACUUAAGUCAUGACCUUGGGGACUUUAUGACUAAGUGAGCCUUGUUUUGCCCAUUUCUUUUAAUUUUUCUUAAAUAAAGUGGUGCCUUGACCUUUUUAUUAUUUUGGAGGGUAAUUGAAUAAUUUCACUUCAUUGGGCCUCAAUUCAAGGGAGGUACACUCUAUCCCUCAUUUGCACUACAUUUGACUUUACGUGCUCCUACGUGUUAUGUGAAUAUGCAUGCCUACCCCGCUUUCCUUACCUCCUUGCGUGCAUUUACUUGCUUUUACGUUUAUUUAAGCUUUAUGGGGUAUGUGUACACCUCUUGGCUUGUAAUAGAUAGGGCUCGGAGAGCAUCUUGUCCAUUUCCCCUUCCCCUUUAUGCUUUUAUGGGGUAUGUGUACACCUCUUGGCUUGUAAUAGAUAGGGCUCGAAGAGCAUCUGGUCCACUUCCCCUUCCCCUUGCUUGCUUGUUUUUGUUGCUACAUGUUUAAUUGCUUUAUUAGGCUCUUGCAUCUAGUCGAGCAUGCUAAAUGUUAUGUGCUAUGUGUUUACGAGUAUUUUGGCAUGUCUACUUGCUUUCAUAGCCAUGAAUGAAUGGAAUGGAUGAAUGUACGUUUCCGCUAGUCCAACGCUAGUCGGAAUUCAUAGAAUGGGCUAGUCCAACGCUAGACCCUUAGGGAUUUCCCCUCAUUAGCACAUCAUUUGCUUGUUCACCACAUAUCAUACAUUUUUUCUUAGUUUUAUCAUCUGGCAUGCUCCUCGAUUCCCCUUUCCCUUCACUUUAGGUCUUGCAUCUCAUGCUAGUUAGGGUACAUUUGCCUGAAGAGUCCCCUUCUGAUAAGGGAGACGAGCGAGUGUGGCUAUUCGAUAGGCUUAGCACGCUAGUUUCGCCUUCUAAUCAAAGGGAAAAUCGAAGUCGAAAAGGUAGGAGUCAUUCCCAUACCCGACCUGAUGCAUUCCCUUAGGUUCAUUCAUUCUCAUUUAUCACUCACUCAUUCUUUUCAAUUCACAUUUUCCUUUCCUUAUUGUUCAUUUUGAUUUCUACUUCACAAAAUCGCAUUUAAUUACACCUAUAUGCACUUAUCAUUAUAUUUCAUACACUUGCACACAAACACUUGGAAUUUUCAUACAAUUGCACACGUCCACCUUUUCAUACACUUGCACACAAACACUUGGAUUUUUUUUUAAUUUCUUUCAUACACUUUCACACUUGCACACUUGAGUCUCAUUUGCAUUAAUCGACCUCUAUGGGGUUUUCCUUUGUUGGCCGCCACAACUCAUGUGGUUUGGGACCAAAAGCCUCACGAGAGACAUCGUAGAAUUUAGGAUUGCAUUUUCCUUUCCGUUUUGCAUUCAUAUAGUCAUAUCCAACGUGCGAACAUACAUUGGGUAGAAAAAUUAGGAAAAUUGGCUUAAGUCACGCAACUAGCCUUGGCUAGGUCGAAGGGGUGCCUUGGAUUUUUAUCCUUGCCUUCCCCUUCGUCAAACGUGACCCCCGAUCCCUCUUUUGGUUACGCAGACCCAAAAGUUCUCAAAAAGGGUUUAUUUACUUUUUAUUCAAAAACAAAUCAUUUUUGGGUGACUUGGUACACCCUAACUCUAUACCAAGUGGCACUCCAUUUUUGAUACAAAAACCCUUUUGAACUUCACUUGGCCAAAUCGUCGCAUUCUAAGUCCCAUGGCCUUUUACUUUUCAUUUUGCACACGUUCACACAUUACACACCACACACCACACACAUCAUUACGAAUCGAAAAGUGGGCGCGACAUUGAGGAAAAACAAUGAAGCCAUAAAUGGCUGGAAUAUAGCAAAAUACAGAGGGCAUGCUGCCCAAAUUUUAGGAUUACGUGAUUCCUUCAAGUUGAGUUGAUCUCAGUAAAACUAAAAUGAGGGGUUUUGGGGGUUGUUUGUAACCCUAGGACCAACUAUUAUCUUUUUACUCAAAAGUCAUAUUUAUAUUCUUUUGUACUUGUACUUAACCUGGAAAGGCGUACGACAUGUAGUCAAGCAUCAUUUAUGCAUUCCAUUUACUGGGUUUGUGGAUGUGCGAGCUAUAAUUGUUUUAUCUUGAUUAUUUGAGGAUUUCUCGGCGAUUAAAGCCACUUUGGGUAAAAAAAAAAACUUUUGAAGUAUCUGUACUGGAACUGGUAAGUGAUCCCUCAACUACUUCCAAAGUUACUUUUGAACUAAUUCUUGCUAAUUCUUGUACUGGUUACUCAAUUGCUUGCAGUGGUUGUUUGAUUGCAUAUCAUUUGUGUAUGUGUGUGUGCCAUGACAUAAUUUGGCUCCAAUGAGUUCUUGGGAAAAUUGUGCUUAGAACCAACGUCUCCACUACUGUUUACACAUUCUUUGGAGUACGAUGGCUUCUUAUUUCUGUUUAUCUGUUACCUGAUCUAAAUGAGCGUUGGAUAUUUAAGUACAAGAAUUUCACUAGCUCACACGAGCAAUAAAUGUACAUUUGAUUACUGCAUCAUGACAUCAGCUAAAUGCUUUAUUGUGAAAUAUACUUGAUUGUUGAUUUUACUGGACACUCGCUGAGUUUCUAGCUCACCCAAAAACUAUUUUAUUCCCCUCCACAGGGCUUGAAGCGACGGAAGCAUUGAUAUAAAGUGCUCCAUGUGAAUGGUUGGAUUAUCUCCUGUAUCGUUGAAGUUUUAGUUCGACCUUGUGUAAUAUUUGAGACUGCGAUUGUACUUGGGCUUACGUGAGAUUUGAGGACCUUCGUCCUAUUCGGGAAAUUAGUAUGGCAUGUAUUUCUUGAGGUUUUAGUUUGUAGUGCAAUUAAAUUUGUGGAAUAUUUGAUGUACAUUUGAAAUUUAUAUUGUAAUUUAUUUGAGGAUUAUUGUGAGUAAGUGAGUCCCGGCGAGAGUUGGGCAGGAGGUCCGCCGAACCCUUUGGUUCGCCUUAGGGGGAGGUGGGGCUGUCACAAGAUUUGCCUUGGAACUCCUUGGAACUUUA
rnacentral:lncRNA from 1 species